UACGAAGGGGGCUAGCGUUGCUCGGAAUUACUGGGCGUAAAGGGCGCGUAGGCGGACAGUUAAGUCAGAGGUGAAAUCCCAGGGCUCAACCCUGGAAUUGCCUUUGAUACUGGCGACCUUGAGUUCGGGAGAGGUGAGUGGAACUGCGAGUGUAGAGGUGAAAUUCGUAGAUAUUCGCAAGAACACCAGUGGCGAAGGCAGCCCCCUGGGCCAAUACUGACGCUCAUGCACGAAAGCGUGGGGAGCAAACAGG
rnacentral:rRNA from 1 species